rnacentral:rRNA from 1 species
GUAGGUGGCAAGCGUUGUCCGGAAUUAUUGGGCGUAAAGCGCGCGCAGGCGGUUCUUUAAGUCUGAUGUGAAAGCCCACGGGCUCAACCGUGGAGGGUCAUUGGAAACUGGAGAACUUGUGUACAGAAGAGGAAAGCGGAAUUCCACGUGUAGCGGUGAAAUGCGUAGAGAUGUGGAGGAACACCAGUGGCGAAGGCGGCUUUCUGGUCUGUAACUGACGCUGAGGCGCGAAAGCGUGGGGAGCAAACAGGAUUAGAUACCCUGGUAGUCCACGCCGUAAACGAUGAGUGCUAAGUGUUAGGGGGUUUCCGCCCCUUAGUUCUGCAGCUAACGCAUUAAGCACUCCGCCUGGGGAGUACGGCCGCAAAGGCUG